rnacentral:rRNA from 1 species
CACGUAUUUAGCCGUCGCUUCUUCUGCAGGUACCGUCACUUGCUUCUUCCCUGCUGAAAGCACUUUACAAUCCGAAAACCUUCUUCGUGCACACAGAAUUGCUGGAUCAGGGUUGCCCCCAUUGUCCAAUAUUCCCCACUGCUGCCUCCCGUAGGAGUAAGGGCCGUAUCUCAGUCCCCUUGUGGCCGUCCACCCUCUCAGGCCGGCUACCUAUCUUCGCCUUGGUGAGCCAUUACCUCACCAACUAGCUAAUAGGACGCAAGGCUCUCCGCAGGCGUCUCCUUUAAUCACAGAGCCAUGCAGCUCCAUGACAUUAUCCGGUCUUGUCAGGAGUUUCCCCCUGUUAUCCCAGUCCUGCAGGUAAGUCCCUUACGCGUUACUCACCCGUCCGCCAUGGUUACCAUGGUGCAAGCACCACUUCCCCAUCGACUUGCAUGUGUUAAGCAUUCUGUCAGCGUUCAUCCUGAGCCAGGAUCAAACUCU